GCUGUCAUUGGAAGUACAAAUCUCAGGAGUGGACUAGGAUAAGGCUCAUCGUAUGUUGAACACCAUGUUGAAGUUCACAUUUCAGGCAAAUACUGAAAGGCAAAAAUAGUGUGUGUACCGUUCCUUAGUAAAAGCGUAAUGUUUUCAGAUGGAAGCGGAGGAGAGGUGAAAUCAGAAUAUGGUUUAUUCAUGUGUUCAAACCUGGGAGUCAUAGAUGCAAUACAUAUAUCUGCAUAAUAAAGACAAAUAUAAAGAAAAGAAAAAGAAGGAAAGAUUGCUUGGACGGAUUGAAGUCAAUCCCAGCUGCUGCAGAUCUGGUGAAGAAAAAUGGCCUGGGCAGGAACACAUGUGACAAAUUAAUCUACCUCGUCCAUCUCAUAUGCUGACCAGCUUGCCGGGCAGUUCUACUUUCAUUCUGUACAUUCGGCACAGAUAAAAGGAUUAAUUCUGGAAUUUCAGGCACACUUUAAAAUAAUUCAAUGACAUGGAUGAAAUCUGCCAAGAGAUUGCUCAGCCGUGUGCAUUUAUUGAUUUUAGUUAUCACUCUAUUGGACAGUGAAAUUAUUGUUUAGCCUUGCAGAACAAAUGUACGAUCAUGUAUGGGCUGGAAUUUUUAUUGUAAGGCAAUGA